AAGAGGUGUUCUCAGUCAGCUUGAUGAGAUGAUGGUACAUAGCUUCACGUAACUCUAACAGGCAUUCCAGAACAGGAUGUGUUUGAGAUGUGCUUUGCUGAGAUGCUGGCUGAGCCGGAGGAACCUGCGAUUCCAGCCUCUUCUCUCAUGGUGCUCCUGCCUCCCAUCAAGGUUUCCAGCCUUCAUCCAGCACCAGCAGCAGGGACAGCUCCUCUGAUAACGAUGGCUCAUCGGACAGCUCCGAGGAGGAGCAGUUCCUGAGCUCCAGGAGCAGCUAGUAUCAAUUUUCCAGAAUACUGGAGAAUACACUCCACAAGCCACCAGAAUAUUGAGGCUCUCUGCCUUCUGUUCUCUUGGGAAUCACUUUGCUGAUUAUGGAUGGAUGCUAUCAGCACAACCAAGAGUGGAAAUCAUGCCAUAUCCUUAUUUAGUG